CAAACGGAUGAACCACAAGCUGCUCCAAGUCGCGACAUUUCGGAUCGGACGCGAUUUAUUCAACGCGGCGCAUUUUAAUAAUAAAUGUCCGCAAGAUAAAUUUGAAUCAGUUUGUUAAUUUCGCUGUAUAAUUGAAUACGUUCGAUAAACGCGAGGACUGCCCGCGGUGCAAUUUGCGGAAAGCAAUCAGCGUGGAAGAUUUGUUGACCGAUUUCUCCAUGGUUAUUCACGAGUACAACUAAGUGGCCGCGCUUCAUCUCGGAGUUUCGAGACAGACGUAGUACUCUCUUCCUUUCUCUCUCUCUCUCUCCCUCAUCCUCAUUCUUCCUUCUCAGCCUCCUCUGCAUCCCUCGCUUUCGAGGAAACACAGGAGAGACCGUACGGUAGUUCGGCGAAAGGCACUCGCGGCGGAAUAGGUUGCGACAUCCGGCGUGGCCGGAAGGCGCGCUAUCGGGCGCGACCUUCCAAAAGGAAACGCCGAUCUGGAGACUACGGUUCGUUAAAAACUUUCCGCCUGGACCCGAGCUUGCAAAAGGAUUCCCCUCAUCCGUCCAUGAUCCUCCUCGAGCCGUUUGUUCGUUUAGGGAUACGGGACAUUUAUUCGGCGACUUAGAAUUAAGUCGACGAUAUCCACCGGAUGCUGGCGCAGAAAUGCCAGUCUUCAAGGGAACCAUAUGCAGGAUAACGCUGGCUGGAAACUUUACGUCGAGUACGUCGAAUCGCCAGCGAAUCCCGAGCACAGCGAGAUUAAUGUUGUAUCCUACGGCUUAGAGAUAUAGAUCCCAGGAAGAGAAAAGGAAUGCCAAGUUCUUUAAGGCGGAAAAAAUUCUCUAAACACGAACAAACGGUAGAAUUAAAAAAUAAUCUCUUGAGGAAGUUCAUAAUAUUCCAAGAUGAAAUGGACUUCUGGACACUAACGGUCCAGAAUUUGCAAUUGAGAAUUAUAUCAAAAAUAAUUGAAAUAUUGGUUUACAAAAGAUACGAGAUGCUACUGAGAUAACAUUUCUUUUCGCAAGUUGGAAUCCAUUUUUGAUAUUUCGUCGUAUUUAAUUAAAAAUAUUGUAUCAAGUUAAAAAGCGACAUUUUCAUAUUUUUCAACUUGCUAUUUUGAGAUCACCACCAGUUGCCGCUAAUUCGAGGUCACCAUUCUUGCCAAUGAACAUGCAGCGGAGCCAGCAAAGCUGGAUUUGUAGUUUUCAUAGAAAUACGGGGAUUAAUGUGCCAUGGAUAAUGCGUCCAAAGCUGCCCUUCUCAUUAUGAGGAAUCUUACGACGCCGCCAUGUGAAAUGGAACGCGGAGCACUGUGGAGCGUCAUUUCGCGUGGAAAUCAACCCUUACGUAGUUCACGUGGCCUAAUUCGAGACACGAACGCACGCUCACGGAUCUUCAAGUUUCUUGUUGCUUUCGGAUUUCAUAUUCGGUGAUGGUAUCGUGAGAACUUCUUCACUUAGCUUUCACCCUGCGCUAUCCUUCAGAUCUAUUAAGUGAAUUGCUCUUGUUCUUUCUUGCACGUUUUCUUGCGCUGCAGAUCGCGGAUCAGUUCGGUUCUGUUGACGCCAAUCGAUCGUCUUGAUCGUGGUAGUGUGUGGACUUCUCGCAAUAAUUUCAAUUAAAUUCGCAGGCGAAGGCUGUCCGCGCUUCUUUUCAUCUACGAAUUCUUGGAUCUGUUCCCAGUUUUUCCUAAUGACAGUCUCGAGGCAUUAAAAGAGAUCUUGUUCGCAUUACGAUAUAUUUCGUAAAGAGGAAGUUUUAUGAAAGAUUAAAGUUUUUGCUUUCAUUUUAAUUAAGAGGAAAUCGGUGUCGCUUAAAUAUUCGCUUUGAUGAGAGAACGCGGUCACUAAUGUAUGUUUGAAAACCCAUAAUCUUAAUCUGCCCUAAUUUGCCGACUUGAGGAAAGAGAAUUGAUUUUUGGCUACCCAGGAGACAGCAUUAUUAGCCGGAGAGUUGUGCAACUUCGAUUCCGUGCGGAGUCCCUCGACAAGAAAGUUCUCUAAUUGAAUAUAUCCGUUGAAAUAAAAUAAUAUGCUGAAGAGCCUCGAGAGUUUUUCUCCAUGUAACCAGACCACGUUCUUAGAGUAAAUGUUCCAGACCAACCCGCUCCCCGACAUUUACAGAUUCACCAACAGAGUAAACUCGCAGAGCUUACUUGGCAAACAGCGAAAGCGGAAAUAGAUACCGCAUCCGUCGAUCAUGGUGAAAGUAAGAUAAAUACAUUUCAAAGAGAAAAUUUGACGCAAUUUGAAGUAAUAUAGAAACAACUCUUUCCCUUCCUCUCAUUUUUAUAUCUAAGUUUUACAAAUAUAUAUAAUUUCCUUCUGAAAUGAUCAAAAUUUGUGCAAACAAGUGCAUCGGAGUAAACCCACAAGAGUAAACGAUUCACAAGCAAAAAGGAAUUAUUAAAUUUAAGAAGCACAUCAUUAAACAUAAAGUUCCAAUAGACAAUUCCAAAUUCAGACUACAGUCAACUACGCUUAUAUCACCAUUAAUCAAUAGAAAUCAAUUUUCAGAGUGGCAUCUGUUCCGGCGAUCAAGUAUUCAUGGCAAUGCACGUGUGCGUGCAUGUGAGCGCGCGUCUCCUUCUGAAUCCGCGAAAUCUUUUAGGGAUGCAUCCCCGUAACAUAUCGACUGUAAGUCGCGCUGCAGCCUCGCCUGGGAGUUUGACCUGCGGGCGUUGAAAGAGGGUGUGUAUAUCGCAGUGUGCCGCGGAAUUAAAAAUUCAGAAGAACUCACAUCCGCUCCGGUCCAGCUCGCACGUAUUUCUUCACAGACGAUGAAUGUGUCGCGCGGUGCUGUCUACGUGUACGUUGGACAUAUCACCAAUUCUAAAGCCUACGGCGGGGCAUGAAGGCGGCGUAACUUAUUUCGAUGCACCUGAGGUCCAUCCGAGGCUUAGUCCGCUAAUAAAAUAUGCCAUUCGCAUCAGCAUCACGUUAUUUAUUCACGUCACUGGUUAUCAUUCGUAACAGUACCUGCCGAGCUUUUUUGAAUUUGGUUCUGAUGCUUGCAUUGAACGCUGCAGGAAAAAAGCGAAACGUUCUGACGGAGCAGUUAAGUAUUCAUUGAGACACCGUGAAUGUUUUUUAUCAGCGACAAGAAAGAACUGUAAUAGUCACAUCUCACUAAACAUAGUUGCGGUAACAAAAAGCGCGCUUUAUUUCAGGUAACUGCGAUGUCGUGGAGAAAUGUCACGAGUUGUUCAGUACGUUAAUUAAAUUGUUUAAUCACAACAACAGUAUUCCACUCUGUAAAUUAUAAUCAAGUAAAUUUCAAGAAUCCUGAUCCUUUUUACAAUGACUUUUUCCACUCUAUGUGUAAAAUUCUAUGUCUAUUUACGCGUCAAUGAAGAGCUUUUGACAUUUUGACAUUUUUACGUGGAUGCAUAAACAUUCCCUCUCUCCAUCAUGUUCUCUCCUCUCUUUUGCAAUUCAUCCGUGCGAAUAUCCUGAAUAAUAUAUUUUUAAUUCCUAGGCGUCUUUCCAUGGGGAGAGGAGAAGCAACGAUCGGCAGGUAGCUAAGAGACGACGAGGUAACUCGGUACGUGCCGAGAAUGUCGACAGGAAGAUCCGUUUUCGUGGCCGACACUCGAUAUUUUGCAAGACGUCUCGGCGAAAAAGUGCGAAAACAAAAAUGGAGUUCCUCAAAACUAUGGGUAUAUGGAAAAAUUCCAAAGAAUGCAUCAAGAUAUUAUGAAGAAAAUAGAGCGGAACGCUACAGACGUUGAUGCGAAAAUGCGAAAAUGUCAUCAUCGGUGAUUCGACCUCAGUAAUUGAUUGCUUUUCGUCCGAAGCUCUAUAAAAAAAAAGACGGAAAGAAUUUAUAGGUCGGCUAUCCCGGGUACCUGAUAAAAAACUCUAGUCUAUAGAAAAAUUCACACAGUGGUAGCGAAGAUAAUUAAUCGUCGCUACAAAUGCAAUCCGCCAGCACGCAGCACGGUUUAUCGUUUGUAUCGUGAAUUAAUCAUGAUUAGACGAGAAUAGUGGCUGUCCGACAAUAAACAAUAUUA
rnacentral:lncRNA from 1 species